GGGUUAUGUGGGAUCAAAAGGCUGGGCGUUCCAUGGGAUUUGAAUUUGUGUCUUUCCGGAACCAGCAGGAUGCACAAAGUGCAAUAAAUGAUUUAACGGGGAAGUGGCUUGGCAGCAGGUAUAUACGUUGCAACUGGGCCACUCCUAAGGUGAGUAAGUUGGGUCAAAACAUUAGUAAGCUGACAUUAACAAUAUGAGGGUAAAAAUAAAGGAUUAUGAGAAGGAACUAAGUUGGAUACAUGGCUCCAUUAGGUGGUGCAAAAGAGGUUGUUACCUAUUAAAUGUUGUUAAAUCUUCUAAGAGGAUUAUUUGGAAAAAAACUAAGCUGUUAAAUAGUUUCUAACAUAUUUUGGUUACAAUUAAGCUGUUAGACAUGUGAGAAGUAAGAUUGCAAGCUGAAGCAGAUUGUAAGAUUCAUAUUUAAGUUGCUGAAUACAUUUUAACUGAACGUAUUUGAUGGUUGUCUUAUUUCUAGAGCUUAUUAGGCUUUUCUUACAAUGUUGCUCAAAUUCUUAUUUUUAGUAGAUGUUUGAACAGAAGAAUGCAGAAAUGCUUUCUAAGGCCUUGUUGAUAUUCCUUUACACAUUAAGGCUUUGUCUGGUUUGUAUAGGAAUUGGGAAAGUGCAAGUUGUGCUUAUUUUACCUGGGGAAAGUAUAAUCCUUUUCUUUUAAGUUGUUUGCUAUAAGACAACCAUCAAUAUGUUGUAUACUCCAUCAAAGGGAAACCCAAAUGCUUCCCCUACUCAGCACAAUGAAGAUAAAUAAGAACUAAUUUUACGAUUAUCUCUUUCCUUUUUGUUAUGGAUAAUACUGUAAGCAAACAUCAAGAUGACGAUUUUUUCUUUUUUGAAUCUUCCCCUUAUUCUCUGACCCCAAACCCACUAGACUUUAUCUUAUGCAUUUCUUUAUAAGUCCAUUUUUGUUAUACAGUCACCUUCGGUGAAACCAAAAAAAAAAAGUAUUUUGUAACUAAUCAAAAAGAAAAAACAUAUUUUUUAGAUGAUACUGAUUUACAGAGGAUGACAAAGAGGCAGCAAACAGCGAUGUUCCUGAGGAUAACCCACAGUACACCACCGUGUAUGUUGGCAAUCUUGCCCCAGAGGUAACCCAUGUUGACCUGCAUUGCCACUUCCAUGCACUUGGUGCUGGAUCAAAUGAGGAAGUUAGGGUCCAGCGUGAUAAAGGGUUUGUUUUUGUUAGGUACAGCACUCAUGCAGAGGCUGCAAUGGCUAUCUCGAUGGGGAACACUCAGUCAUUCCUCUUGGCAAACAAAUUAAGGUUUUUCUUCAGUUCUACUUGUUGGUCUGGAGAGUAAUCAUGUGGCUAUGGAUACAUAUGUUGUUGCAGCAGCAUUUUGGAGAAAUUUUACAAUAUCUCUCUGUUAACUGACUGUUAAUCUUGCUAGUUCCCAACUGUGCAAAUGCUACUGUAAAUCAACAAAAUGGUUUGUGCACUAUGGGUAAGAGGAAAGCAGAUUGCAGAGUAAGAUGUACAGAUCACAGAGAAAUCUUGGAUGAGGCUUUCAGAAAUGGGUUAGUUGUACUAUUAGGGCCAACACAAAAUGAUGUAUAUGUUUGUCCUGCAUUUGUCCAAUGAGAAUGGACUCUAGUUUAAAUAGAAUACAGUCGUCUUCCAUCUUUGAUAGAUUGCGCUUCUUGCAAAGUUAUGCCCUUUCACCUCCUGUCGCUCUUUCCUCCCCUUUUGUGGAUUCUUUUCAUUGCCUUCUUUAAAAUGCGAAGACAAGGAUCUUGGACUUAAUGAGGAUUUAUUCUCUUUCCAGUAAGUAGCCCACUGUAAUGUGCGAUUUGCAUUGGAGUGUGGUGGAUGCAUAUAGGGGUCACAAACCAUUUAUUUCUUGUAUCAUUCUCCAACUUUUAGCAUUUGACUUCCGUGAAUUCCACGUUUCUAAUUUUCUGACCUUGACAAUAUUCUUGCAUGCAUACAGUGCUCAUGGGGUAACAAGCCGACUCCACCAGGAGCAAGCUCAAACCCUCUCCCACCACCUGCACCUGCAGCCUUGCCAGGCCUUUCUGCAGCUGACCUUUUGGCGUAUGAGCGACAACUCGCAAUGAGUAAGAUGGGUUC